ensembl:lncRNA
GAGGAAUGCAAAUAUUCAGUUCACAGCAAGUCACCCAGUGAAAAUCUUUCGUGCCACAUUCAGAUCAAGAGUAUUGUAGAUGUCCCACCUCUUAGGACUGAUUCUGAGAUUCAGGAGAUUACGAGGAUGGGUCUCACGAGGUAACUUACCAAGUGCACUUUGUUUUUUCCAAAAUGUAAUCAGGAGUCCUUGCUGAGAAAUGUGUGUUCCCUUUGCAGAGCCAUUGAGAUGGAAGAACUCUUGAGCAGUCAGGCUUCUAAGCAGGUCUCCAAGGAGUUCCCAUUGUGGCUCAGCGGGUUAUGAACCCAACUAGUAUCCAUGAGGAUGCAGGGUCAAUACCCGACCAUGCUUAGUGGGUUAGGGAUCCGGCGUUGCCAUGAGCUGUGGUGUAGGCUGGCAGCUGCAGCUCUGACUCAACCCCUAGCUGGGAACUUCCCUAUGCCAAAGGUGCAGUCCUAAAAAGGUGGGGGGGGGGGCGGUCUCCAAGUGUUGAGUGAGGUUCCUUUCAACACUCUUGCUUUCGAGGCUCUGGCCUUCCCUCCACCCCAGCUCCCCCGCUCCCCCCUGCACGAGGAUGGUUUCUGACCACAGGCAAUCGUUGAGUUCAGUAGACUUGAAGACAGGAAUCUUUUUUCCAAGUUGCACUCAUCACACUUCCACAUUUUCGAGCAGAUGAUCAGGCUAAAAGCGUGAGGCCAACAAGGAUGGUCCAGAGAGGAUGGGUGGAGGAGAUGGAUGUGACUAAAGGCCAAUCUUCAGAGGCUACACGCUUCCAGGGAGAGCGCAUGGCUUCUGUGGAUUGACCGAAUUGGAUAUAUAAGUUAGUUAAGCCAUUUUACCACCUGUAACUGGAAGCCAGUUACAUAGACCUUCUGAGCCUCCUUAUCCCUCUCUGUGAAAUGGGGCUGCAACACUGACUUGAUCAGAGAUGCUGGUUCAACAAAGUCAUGUGUGUACCAUUUCUGACACAGAGCAGUCAUUCUAUAAAUGCAUUGGCCUUGUCCUCUUCCGUUUCUCAUAAAAAGGGAGGCUGGAAUCCAAGUUCUUCAGAUUUCCCCCGAAUCUGGAGCAGCGGGCACUAACUCAGAGCGAGGGAGGAAUGCCAGGGCAUGCUGAGUCUCAUCACUGUGCCAACAAAACGCCAUCAUAGAUUAAGAGAAUUCCUUCUGAGUUUAAGCACUUCUAAAUACCUUUCCCUGAACUGCAGGCAAACAGAACCAAGUGUAAAAAGACGGUUCUCCUCUGUUUGUAAAGGCAUUUUUCCCGUCUUCAGAUUUUCACGAUCUGUAACUGGACUGUGUACCCAGCUGGCAGCUGCACCAGCCAGACCCUGAGGUAACUGUAGUUUUUAGGCCCAAUUUUUUUUUUUUUUUUCCAAAUCAGAGCAGCCUACAAAUUCUAUUUCAAGCACACACACACGGACAGAGUGCAGAUGUGGGAAUGAGAACCAAGCUCUUCUGGGGGAAUGAGGCUGUGAGAUUUGACUAUAGCGGGGCCAUGAGUGGCCCGCGUGAAGGGCCCCACCCAGGCACGGCUGGGGCUCAGACCUCAAGAGUGGUUUUGGCCUUUGGAUAUGACAUUAGCAAUUACAGGGACAGUCACCACAUCGCCCGUUUGGGGGGAAAGCGUUGCACCCCCUGUGAUCAGACAGGCGUGAAAGGCUUUUUCUGUGCUCUGAAGAACAUGUGACAGCAAGGAAAUUCUGGAAAACUCACUCCCUGAAGAAGCUGAGCAUCAAAACGGUGGUGGACAGGGAGGAGGCCUGUUUCAAUCAAGCAGACAAUCAGAAUGUGGUUCUCAUGAGUGUCCAGACCAGGAAUGGGAUUCCCAGCCUGUUUACACGAUGCGGUAAAAGCUCUUAUAGCCUGGGUGGACCCCAAAGUGAACAUUCCUUUUGGGUGACUAAGAAGUCAUUCAUUCAUUCAUCCAUUUAACAGACAUUUAUUAAGAACCUAUGACGCCACAGGUAGUAUAUCAUAGGGACUAAGGAUACCAUGGUGAGCAGCAACAACAAAAAUGUUAAAAAAAAAAAAAAAUCCAGGAGUUCCCAAUGUGGCUCAGUGGGUUAAGAAUCCAACAUAGCAUCCAUGAGGAUUCGGGUUCGAUCCCUGGCCUCGAUCAGGGAUCUGGCAUUGCCAUGGCUGUGGUGUGGGCCUGCAACUGCAGCUCCAAUUUGACCCCUAGCCUGGGAAACUUCUAUAUGCUGCAGGCGCGGCCCUAAAAAGAAAAAGAAAGAAAUCUCUGGGCUUAUGAGCAUUCCACUCUAGCAGACAGUGGAGUGGAGACACUGACAAUAAACAAUAGUAAUAAUCAAAACAUGAAUUAUAGUAUAUGAUUUGUUUCCACUGCACCAUAACAGGAACUCCAUCAACUAUAAUUUUUUUUAAAAAGUUCAGGAGUUUCCUGGUGGCUCAGAGGGUUAGGGAACCAGCAUUUUCACUGCUGUGAUACAGGGUCAGUCCCUGGCCCAAGAAUUUCCGCAUGCUGCAGGCAUGGCCAAAACAAACAAACAAACAAACAAGAAGUUCAGUCAGCCCUCAUGCUUUCCACUUACUCUGAAUUCAGAAGGGUCUGCGCCUCAUUUCCUGUGUUUUCCUGGCCCUGCAAUUAUGCAGAGUUCUGUGCUUGGAGACCUAGCGGUCAACUUUCUUUUGCCUGCUGUUGUUUCUUUUCUUGUUCCCUUAAUUCUUUGAUUUAUGCUUUUUUAUUCUUCAUGGACAUUUGAAUGGGCUUUCAGAAGGAGGUGGAAAUAAACUGGUCACGUGAAUACUUAAUUGAGUCGCAUUCUGUUCUCUUUUGAGUCCAUCCUGCCAAAGAUUGCUCUGCUGAUACCAGUAAGUGACUCAGUAGAUUCUCACAGAAGUAGGAUUCCAGUUAAAUGGCAGGACCUUCCACACCCUCUCUCAGUUAUCUAUCUCUGAAUAACAAAUGACCCUAAACAUAGUGAAAAACAACCGCGGUUGUUGAUUGGCUCAUGAUGCUGCUGUGUGGGCAGCGUUUGGAGGGGUCCUAGCGUUUCUGCUCCAUGUGAAUCAGCUGGCGCAGCUCCCUUCCCCAGGGACUGACGGCUCCCCUCUGCAGAUGGUGCACGCACAUGACUGGCCAGUGGUCCUGGCUGAGGAAUGGGUGCUCCGUAGCAGCUGUCCACUGGGACGUCAGUUCUUCUUCAUGUGGCCUCUGCAUGUGCCUCCGAUGGACUCCACAGAAGCUUGGUUCUGUGAGGGAACAUCUAAGACCACGGUCACCAAGAAGACAAGCUCUCAUGUGCAUACGUGGAUCAAGCCGCUCUUUUGCAUCACACUGACGAAUGUCCCGUUGGCCAACGGAAGUCCCGUGGCCAAGCCCACACUCUGCGUAGGAAGGAACAUUUCUCAGGGGCGUAGUAGCUGG